rnacentral:lncRNA from 1 species
ACAGAGAGUUCAACAUUGCUGGAUUGGCUAGGCAACAGUCACAAUCAAUAGAACAGUGAUAUUCUUCUUGGAUCUUCAAGUGUCCCUGUGCAACAAUAUGUUUCCUGUUGAUACAUGAAUUCAUCUUGUUUCAUUGGUAAGAUGGCAAAAUAGUCGGUAACAAUUUGUGGGUUAGCUGUGGUAGCAACAUACUGUAUUUUUGAACACUGUAGUAGUAGAUAUGGAUACAGUGGUACCUCGGGUUAAGUACUUAAUUCGUUCUGGAGGUCCGUUCUUAACCUAAAACUGUUCUUAACCUGAGGUACCACUUUAGCUAAUGGGGACUCCUAUUGCUGCCACCGUGUGAUUUCUGUUCUCAUCCUGAAGCAAAGUUCUUAACCUGAGGUACUAUUUCUGGGUUAGUGGAGUCUGUAACCUGAAGCGUCUGUAACCUGAAGCAUCUGUAACCUUUGUUUACCUUUGCUGCUUGAUAAUCUGCUUCAGAUAGUUCUGUCCAGAUAAUAACUUCUUGUUGAGCCUUACUGUUGCUCAGCCCAGCACAGAACAACCCAGACUAUUUGGAGCUUUGUAGUGUUGCAGUUUUGUAGCCCACCAGGUCUAUGAGCUAUCAGUAUAAGCAAGCUUGAGCUUGUGCCACCUAAAAUAGUUGAGCUGUGCUCACAUAAACUAUUGGCAAAAGGCUAUUCAUUCCUCAGCAUGCUUGUCUCUGGUCUAAACCUUUGUCUGCAUAAAGGAUGCUCAAAAAUAUCAAAUCAGUGGAGGAAAGGAAUUAGCUAUGAAGCAGUACACUUUAAUGAGAGCGCUCACUACUGUUGAUUAGUAGGCCAAUGUCCCAAAUAAGUAAUCCUCCUUUACUAGCCUUAGAAAUCAAGGCAACAUGCAGAAAAUAAUCUCUCAGUUCUGAAGGGCUAAAUAUGUUGUCUAUAAUUCACAGGCAAUAAUGAAUUCUAAAUCCUAACUUUCCUGAAGGCAACUCUUGCUCUCACCACUAGUCAUCAGUAUCUUCUUGCUAAAAAUAACUCCUCAGCUCAGCUACAGUUUUCCAUAGUUGUGCAUCAUUCUGCCUCCCUUUAAUGUGCUCAUUUAGUUGCGCUAAGUGAUGGCAACUGGGAAGAUUGCAAAGAUGCCCAUUAUAAAAGCAAAACAUCUAUCAGAUGACAUUUCCCCCCCCCUAAGGCAGUCAUUAAACUGGAUUACAACCACAGCAGUUCAGCCUUGGGCUGCUGAAAAGCAAAUUGGACAUUAAUUGCUGCAUUUGAGUGGUUUCUCCUGCACGAUUAUCUAUAAUAAUAUUACCAUAAAGGCCUCGUAAAAGGUGCAAUCCACUGUCUCCCACCUACUAAGAAAAUAAACACUUUGCUCAGCAAGUAGCAUCCAAUUAUAAUGUGCCCAACACUUUAUAUAACCUCGAGGGUGUAAAAAGAAGGCAGUUGGUCUUUGUUGGUGAAGUUCAAGCUCCCUUGUCUGGUGACUUCAAUUUAAACUGACCUACGAAACACUGAAGUAGCCCGAUCUAUCUAAUACGCCCAGACUGUACACAGUUCUCUAGCCAUGCAUUGUCUCUCAGUGCUUUGCUUGAUGUGUUUCCUCUUUUAUAGCCCACCAUGUGAUCAUCUGGUUGGCUGUGAUAUACGGCUGAUGUGUUGCAUACAAUAUGAGGAAUAGAGUAAAAUGGGUGUUGUGUAACAUACUUCAGAGAGUAAUCCUAUAGACCAGCGGUUCUCAACCUGUAGGUCCCCAGAUGUUGUUGGACUACAACUCCCAUCAUCCCUCAGCUCUGGCCUUGCUAGCUAGGGGUGAUGGGAGUUGUAGUUCAACAACAUCUGGGGACCCACAGGUUGAGAAAGGCUGCUCUAGAACAGGUUACUGUACUGUGAAAUUGCCCUAUUAUGUACAAUCUGUAUACCAAGUUUAAACUGCAGUGGCACCUUCAAGCAUAGUACGAACCAGCAUUCCUAAGAGUGCAACAUUCAAACACACACCAGGUGUCCUCUAUAUCUGUUUAUGUGUUCAUAUGUGGAUGUCAAUUUGGAAGCUGAUAGUUAAUGGCAUGUUCAAGCAAGCGCUGCCCUUUCUUACCUUCUUCAAUGUGCCCAGUACUUUCUGUGGUGUUUUCAUUUGAAGCCUCCACUAGUGGCCACUGCCAGAGGCAAUGCAUGAGGUUUAAUGGCCCAAUGGACUGAUCCAGUGCGGGAAUAUUUCUCCUCCUGUGCAGCAUCCUGUGAGAUCUCUCUAUCUCACCAGCUGCUGCUGCAGUACAAAUCAUAUUGUGUAUAAUGGCAUGUCUGCCUUGGGAAUUUAUGGGUAUGCACUGCGGGCAAUGGUGGCGAUGACGACAGAUCAGCCAGAAUGCAUACACGUUUCAAAUUGCUGGAAAUCCCCACUGGGUUGUACUGCAGGAAAAAUGAGAAAGCCUGCUGGCUGCUGCCAGCCCACACACUGGAUAAUCUGUUUCUCUUUGCAAUGAGCAAAGUAAAACAACACUAGGCAAUGAUGAAAAGAGGAAAAGGAGCAGCCUUGAACUAUCACUUCCCUCAAUGUUCCAGAGGAUAGCUCUGUACCAAUGGAAACUAAUCACCAUUGCUUGAAUUCUCAUAUGUUCUGGCAGAACAGCUGAGAAAGAAGGAAGGAGGGAGAUUUUGCGGUGGGCAGAAUUAGGGACGCCAAAGUUUCCUGUCAUUAUGUGACAGUGACAAGCAAUUUAUGAGCUCAGAGUUCAACACGGAAUUAUUACCCCUCCAGAAAUAACACAGACACAUGCAUUUCACUAAUUGCAGUUGUGCCGUGGCAAAUUCAUUUUAUCUGCCAUAACAGGGAAGCAAGCAGAAUUCAUCAGGCUUGCUCAUAGAUAGAAAUGGGAGAGAAAUUAGAUGCAGUUUGCAGUUAAAGGUGAAUCUGUAAAAUUUACACUUUCCAAAACCACAUGAGAACCAAAACACCACCAUCCUUUGAAAUGAACACAUAUCUGAAUUUUGAGAUAUAGCUCCCCAGUGAACCAGUGUCAGCACAAAUGCAUCUGUUAGGGGAAAGUAUGCCAUAAAAAUGAGUAUAUUAGUUGAAAAUAACAUAAAACGUGCAUUAUAGUAGGAGAAAUCACUUGCAAAAAUAUGUACAUUUGUCAAAUGCUGAUGGAUUUUCAUGUUUUUUAAAAAAUAAAAAAGUGCAAAUUGCUGCAGAAAUGUGGAAAACUGAACUUAAGAUAGGAAAAAAUGAGAAACUGAGGGAACCAAAAUGGACAGCUCCUUCCAUCCCUAUUCACUGCACAUUUUCCAGGCAAAAGAUUGCUCAUGUGAGUUAUAUGCUGUAUUCUAUGAAGCUGCAAGGAUAUGUUAUGCAACUGAACUGCUUGCUUUUUUAACAAGAGAGUAGAAGCUGUCUGGUUCUGCAGAUUACAGGUUUGAAAUGGAAGUCAUUCACUUGUGCAAUAUGCUCACACAUAUGCUCAUGAGGAUAUUUUUUUUCCAGGAACAAUCCAAUAACUAAAACAUGAAACCUAUGAUUUCAUUCUUGAGCUAUUGCCAUCUUUAUGCUUCAGCAGAAGCAUAAAGUAGAAGCCUUUGAUGAUGACUGCAGUGUCUAGGCCGAUUCAUGUGUGGAAAGGCAGUAUUUUGGGUCCUGGGGUCCUGUGGCUUCAGAGGUCACAACUAGCACUUUGAAUUGAGCCCAGAAAGUAAUUGGCAGCCAGUGCACAUGGGCUAGAAUCUGUGUAAAAUGCUCAGAUCUUCUGGUCCUAGUUAAUAAUCUGGCAACCUAGAGAUUUCCAGGGCAUAGGCGACUAAAACCAUGUUAUUUCUGUCCAUACAGGGAAACUAAGCAAGGGUCAGUAAUGGAUCCAUAAGUAUUCCCCAAGCAGAGUACCUUUAAGUUGAGUGAAACUUCUUCCAGAACAGAUAGAACAGGAUCCCAUAAAUAUGUUGCUUCGGGGGCACUAUGCUGGGCAACAUAUUCUUUCAGACAAAGCAGCACAUUCUGUGUUAGUAGAUGGGGGUGGGAGUAGGAGGAAGGGGAAACAUUGUUGAUCUUAGUCCCCCUAGUUCCCUUCCCUUAUCAAAAACUUCAACUUCACUUCCUUCAUUUUUAUUGCAACUUCUAGAGUCUGACAGAAGUGCCCUGCCUGUGUUGCUUGAUGACAGGAUUUCAUUAGUCUAUAAUGACAUUUUAGUGCUUGUUUUAAUCAUUUCAAGUGCUAUUGCGUCCUGCUGUGAGAGAUUGUUUUAAAUACCAGAAGGUGCACUGCUGGAGUAAGGGCUUCCCUUUUCACAUACCAAUAUAUGCAAAAAGAAAAAGAAAAGCAGUUGGGUGAUAUUUUGCAUGGUUUAUGAGGAAAUAUUAAAAGCUAUAAGACAAUAUGAAUUGUUUUCAGAUUAAAAGCUGGCAAUGGGUAUUAUUUACAAAACGUUAACAUUACCAAAGCCACAGAAUAUGGGAUAUAAUCAAGGCUUUUCCCCCAGCUGGACUCACCAGAACUCAGUUCUGGUACGUCUCAGGUGGGCGCCAUUGCCAUUCUAAGAGAACAAGGGAGGUGUUAAUAAUGAGUUCUGGCACCUCCUUUUCUAAAAAAUAUAGUACUGGAUAUAAUAUACACCAGAGUCAUCAAACAUUUUGGUCAAGAGGCAUAUUUGGAAUGUGGAAAGAGUGCUGUAGGCUCCAGUUACAAACUGCAUGUCAUGGGGCAUAGCAUAGCACUACAUUGUUGCUGUUGUUAUGUGGGACUGUGGCAUAACACAGUAUGGGCAUUGCACCACUCAAAACAGAAGAGUGUGUGCCCACUUCUAGCAUUUAUUGAGAUAUUUUGUGGGUGUCAUGUUGAUGAACCUAGAAUAACAUGUUCAAAUCAACAUCUUAUCUGUUCUGGAGAAAAUAACAUCAGAAGGGGUGAGCGAGCAGAACCCCAACCCCCAAGCCUCAAAUAUUUUGUCAAUAAAAUAGUGGGGCUUGAGUUUCCUGGGAGAGUCAGGUCUAACAAUAUUAGCAACCCAAAAAGCCCCAAAAGAAGUUACGGGAACUGAAACCUAGAGCAUGAGUCAUUUUCAGAUCAGUUGUAAGAAGAAUUGCACAGCAUCUCCACUUCCUGUAGCAUCAAUUGUAGUUUGCAGCAGCAAUUUUUGCAUGCGCUCUUCCUUCUAUUCUUUCUUGUUCUUUGCCCUGUCCUAACAGGUCAUAACAUAAAACUCACAAGGGCUAAAGAGUGAAGAUGAGCUCAACUAACAGUUGACAAUGAGGCACAAGGUAAAUGUAGUUUAUAAUAGGACAGACAUAUGUCCUGAAUUUCCCAGACGUAGAUAGAAUAUGGCAGUUGGAAACAGUGUGUGGGCAGAAAUCACUGAAAUGUCCAGGAAAAUCCAGACGUAUGGCAACCCAUGUUAGAAGUCUAGAUUUUGGCAAAUUUCCUUUAAAACUAGCUCAAAAAGUCAGUAUUUUAAGAUUUUGCAAAGAAAGCUCAACAACUUUUGCGUCCGGAUUUUCACUUUCUGAAAUACAGCAACCCUGGUUUAUAAGUACAUUAAUUCAAUGAGUAGGAAGAUGCUCAUGAAUCAAAGUUCCCAAGGAAAGUUAGGAAGCAGGCCCAGAGACAGAGGGAGGGUGUUUUGAAUGAUAAAGAACUUCUAAGUAGCAGCCAACUUGGACUAACAAGUUCCAGGCAUGGAAUGAGUCAUUUUUAUCUUCUUACCAGGUCUCCUGCCUAUAUUGGGUUAUUUUCUUUUUAAUUGGUUUUUACCAACGAUUUUCUUGUGUAACAAAUUGUUAUUUGUGUAACAAACAAAUAAACAAAGAAAAGUACAUAUGGUGUCUCCACUUUUAAUUCACAGUCUUUUUCACAGUUCAUUUGCAUUCGGUAUGAGACACUGUUGUCAUAUACAUUAUGCAGUUUUAUGUCUUCCCUGACCAAUGUAAAGAAAUAGCACCUUAGCCUGCAGUCUGGCACUUCAUCAUUCUUCAAUAUUUUCCUGGCAGGACUAGUGGAGCUAUGCCAGAAGACUGUGGAGAUUUGUGUAUAUUGCAUGGCAAUUCUUCAAGAGAUUUCAUGCUUGGUGGCUUUGGAUAUUGGUGGAUCUUCAAUCAGUCUGCACUGAGGGUCCUACCUCCCGAAUCCUAGUUUAACAGUGGCUGUGGGUGUCAUUAAAGGGACACAGGUGGUGCUGUGGCCUAAACCACUGAGCCUCUUGGGUUGCCGAUCAGAAGGUUGGCAGUUUGAAUCCCCGCGACGGAGUGAGCUCCUGUUGCUUGGCCCCAUCUCUUACCAACCUAGCUGUUUGAAAGCACGUCAAAGUGCAAAUAGAUAAAUAAGUACCACUCCGGCGGGAAGGUGAAUGGUGUUUCCGUGCGCUGCUCUGGUUUCACCAGAAGCGGCUUAGUCAUGCUGGCCACAUGACCCGGAAAAAUUGUCUGCGGACAAACGCCGGUUUCCUCGGCCUGUAAAGUGAGAUGAGCGCCGUAACCCCAGAGUCAUUCACAACUGGACUUAACAGUCAGGGGUCCUUUACCUUUACCUUUUUAAGGGUGUCCUUAAGUUUCAAGGCUCAUACCUUAUUUCUCUGUAUAAGACCUCAGCUGAGUCAGAAUCUAAAAAGCAGCUUGAGACUGGAAUUAUAACACUCUUAUCUUUACAUUACGCCUAUGUGGAGUUUGGCUGGAGCUGUUCCAAGUCAGGGGUCAAUCUUUCACUAUAUCCUGAAAAAUAUCCUGAAAAGGGGGCUAUCAAAUAAUCUAAGGUUGGGGAGAAAGUAGUGAUCUUCUUAAAUUUUAUAAUUAUCUGGCCCUUAAUACUCAGGUGAAUCAUGAAUUAUCAUUUCCCCAAGAGAUUCUGCUUGCCCUCAGAAUGUAAAUCAAACUUGUCAGCAUGCCUGUGAAUGUGUAGUUUCGAAGGGUGCUUGUCUGUUCAUAGAGAUUUCAGGUUCCUAGGAAUAUACAUAUCCCAGGACUUUUUGGAGUUGAUAUGCUGGGGAGAGCAUGGUCAGCAAAAACACAGGCAAAAAGAACACUUUGCAUUACUUGGGGUCACUCUGCAAGAGAACAUCAUUAGGCACAAAACCUUGUGUUGGUUCCCCUUUUGUUCUACCCUUACUUGCUACAGCAACCCACACAGGACAUAUGCUCUUUCUCCUGCUGUCUACUCCAUAUGCUAGCUUUGAUUAAUUAAGAUGAUUAAUCUGCAAUCAAAUGAUGCCCCAAUUUAUCACAGUGUUUAUUCAGUUAAAAUGUUCAUUCCCCAAAAUCAUCCUGUAACUCUAACAUCUUCUACCUCAGUUUGCUUGUCGAAUUUGCUUCCAGGGAUCAUGAGUCAUAUCUGGGGAAUGAACAUGACUGGCAUUUUUGAGUCAAAGGGUUACUCCUCUGACCUACUUCCAACAGGAUCAACAGCUGCAGGCUGACUAUGGAAUGCACAGAUAAAACACUGCUAGACAGUUAUAUGCAGGUAAGAUGUUUGGUUCCAGGUUUUCCCUCCUUAAAAAUAGUAACAACAACUCUCAACUGUGCCUCUACAAAUGCUAAGAUGAGCAAACAUGCAACGUACUUGCACAUCAAAGAGAUAUAAAGAGGCAAAUUUUGAUCAGUGCAGAUCUUUUUUUCAUUAGCAGAUGAGGGGAAAAAAUAAUCAGUUGAAUUGUAUAUCUGAAAUUGAAAGAGAAACUGAAAAAGAAUCCUGCAUUGAAAAGCCACUUCUCAAACCCCUGUCCACCACAAUAAUUUCACUGACUCAUUUAAGCAACAAUAGCAACACGUUCCAUCUACAACAAUGCCAUACAAAGAAAUGCAAUUUUAUUUUUAUGCUGUUGAACAGCCAGUAACCUUCUAAGACUAUAUUGUAAAUUUCUAACAAUAAAGUUUCCAGCUAUAAAGGAGGAAAUUAUUUUGGAUUGUUUUGAUAUGUGCAAAGGCUACUUUUUAUGUACAUAUUUUAUUUGCAUUAAACAUUGACCACUCUAAUCAUGUUACACAUCUGCUAAGAUGAAGUCUGGACCAGUAAAAGUUGCUGUCUGAGACAGAACAGAAAAUGCCCCCUCCACAUCAAAUUCCCUGUUACUAAGACCAGUCAACUUAUUUUGACACCCGAUAAAGAAAAUCUCUUGUCUCUACCACUUCCUGGCAGUAAAAAUUUAAUAAUCAUAAAUUGUUCCCUUUCAUGACACCCAAAAUCAGCUGUCCAAGGCAGCCACCUCCACUCUACUUAAUUGUUAGGCCAUCUGUAGCUAAGACUUCCCUUUCCUCUUUAUUAUCUUAUUUACUUGCUACAGGUUAGUGAACAAUAGAAAAACACAUCUCCCUUAGCAACCUAGUAUUUGAUUUAGUGGUUGCAGCUUUCAGAAACAAUUUAACAUGUCGAUUUAUCCUGCAUCCCCCUUUACAUUCAGUCCAAAUCCAUAAUAAUUCCUCAGACCUGAGGGUACAUCUUUGGAUUGUCAUUGAGAUGACAGAGCAAAUUUAUAAGAGCAAAAUGCGGUAGGAAUCAUGGCAUCUAUUUAUAGCCAAGUCCCCCAAUAUCUCUCCCAUAGAUAAACAUUUCUACUUAUAAAAACCCUUCCAAAUAUAUUUGGUUCAUGGACAAAUAUAUUUGGUUCAUAUCUGGGCAUUUUGCAGCAUCUGCAUUGAUGGCCUAGGAGACCAGGCUCCGAAAUGAGUCUAGUAAUUUUGUCCCAGAAUAACUGGUGACAGGCUUCAGGGGACUUGAGCUCGACUAACAGUGAAAUCUUAAUAUCCUAUACAUGUCUGCUUAUAAAUAAGUUCUAUUGUGCUCAGUGCGAUUGGAGUGCACUGGAUUGUAGCCAAUAUUAAUGCUCUAGCUUAAAGGUAAAGGGCGCUGCGAUACAAUGUACUCUGUCUUUCUAAUUAAUAGUAGUGGUCUCCAAGGCUGGGGUCAUGGGUAGCUGUGCCAAAAUCUUGGUUUACAACACUUCAGAACCUGGAGCAUGGAGAGAAAGUUUUUAUACUAGGCCUGGCCGGAAUUUUAAUACUAUCUGCAAUUAUAGAAACUUAGGCAGAACAACUCUGUUAUCUUCUGAAAAGGCUCCAAAGGCUGAGCACAUGCAUUUUAUGGGUGCUCACCAGCCUCAGCCCUGGAGCCAUUCACAAUAUCAUUCAAACCUAUUAGUAAAAUAACCCUUCCAUAACAGUCCUGGACUACUGCAAUUUGCUAUAUGGGGGGCUGCCCUUGAAGACUGCCGCCAGAAAUGUGGAUGCUGGAUUAGUAAGUGGGGCAGCCCAAUGGGACCUUGUUUUGCUGGUCUUUAAAGCACUGCACUGGCUGCCAGUGAGCUACUAGGCCUAAUUCAAGGUGGUAGUAUUACCAUAUAAAACACCCAAUGGCUUAUGACACAAAUACAUCAAAUUAGGACCUUCCUCUGUAUCAACCAUCUUGAACCCUAAAAUAAUCAGGCGAGACCUUUUUGGUGCCCCUACCAAUAACUGACCCAUGACAGGACCUUUUCAAUGGUGCUUCCCUGUUUGUGGAAUUCCCUCAUUAUUGACUUUCAGGAGAAGGUAAGAACAUUACUGUUUAACCAGGCAUUUGAUGGCCGAAAGAUGCUGUUCUUGGCAACCGUGAAAGAAUGUUUCAAACUAUUUCUAGAAUGUUUUGAAUUGUUGUUGUUGUCGUCGUUGCAUUUGCUACCCUGGGCUCCUUCAGGAUGAACGGCGGAUAUAAACUGAAUCAAUAAAUACAUAAUAUUCUAUACCUUAACUACUGUUCCUCCAUUAAAAUAGAAUUUCCUCUUCUGUCCACAUUUUUAUCUGUGAUCCAAGUACAUCUGCUCCCUCAACUUGGCAGCAGGAAACCAUUCCCAACAGAGGGUGAAAAAGUGCUUAUUCUAGACACACCUUCAUCGACAGUAAAGGGCACUUUUUGCAGACAGCCUGUGAGUAGGGAAUUUUAGAGGCUGCCAGUUUGACGUUUAGGGAAAAUAAAAACACCAGUUUAAUAAAAUGCUCCAACAGUGCAGGCAAACAGUAUGGAAUAUUACAUUUGUCCUCCUCGAGGGGAAAAAAAGCCCAACAGAAAACUCAGUAGCAUCAAGGUUUCAGGGUUGCAGAAAGUUUGUUGAGAAAGAAGAGCUAUGCUGGUCUGAAAUGCUAUCAAAGAAAAAGUGAGCAUCACCUCAGAAAAUAGUGUCCAGGUAGGAAUGAUUUUUAAUGGUUUUCUAACGGGGCCCAGCUGGUUCAUUCUCAGCUUUGCAACAAAAUACUUGUGUGGAUCUGCACAGCUGAUUUAAUCUUGCCACACUUUGGUUUUACUGUUAUAAAUUGAUAAUCACACCAGAGCCCAAAUUACAGAGGAAAGAAGAAGAAGAAAAUAGUUUUGGGGAACAUGAGUAAAAUGUUUUUCGCCCAGUGCUGAAAAUAUAUUAAUGAAGUUAGUAGUACCAGGUGAGCCUCCCUGAGGCGAGAAUUCCAAUAAGUGACUAAGGAUACUUAAGGAACUUGAUCAUGGUGAAUUCUGGUACAAACUAAGGCGCCAUGUGCACUAUAUAUUUAAAGCAGUAUCGUAUCACUGUAAACAGUCAUGGCUUCCCCUAAAGAAUUCUGGGAACUGUAGUUUUUAAGGGUGUUGAGAGUUGUCAGCAUGACUGUAUUACCCUGAGAGAGCUACAAUCUUCAGAAUCCCCUGGGAAGCAGGUUUGAUUGUCAAACCAUUCUGGAAAUUGUAGCUCUGUGAUGAGAAUAGGGGGUCUCCAUGCUCCCAGUUGCUAUUGUAACUAAGUUAAAGUACUUGGAAAUUAAGUAAUCACUCAUUCUUCUCCUGUCUACCCAUGCCUCCAAGUCUCUCCUAUGUCUCAUUUCAGUGAGCCUAUUUUAUAUUGUGUGCAUCUUAGGACUAGCAUCUGUCAUAUUGGUACUAUGUAAAGUCCUACAUACAUAAAUAUAACAACAAUUUGGUGUAAUCUGGAACUUCUUUAUCAUUCAAAUACCCAUGAAAAGUGGAGGUGCAACACCAUAAAUUCUGUAGCCACAUAAUAAUGAUGUUUACGUCAGAUGGUAUUUUCAAGAGCACUCAAAUAUUGAUCUAACUCUGCUCCAGUGGUGAAGUCAAUGGGAAUUUCACCAUUGAUUUCAGUAGGAGGAGAGAAAAUCAAUUCCCAGCACUUGUGAAAAUUUCACAGUCGGUCAUUACUGAUUGAGAGAAUAUUCAAAGGACUAAUGAUGGCGGUUCAGUUUAGAGCUUCAUAUCCCAUUGCGCACCCCAUGAGCCACUUGACUCUCUGCUUUGUUUGGAAAUCUAUAUGUUUAGCAUUUAAAGCUUUUUUUGCUUUCCUUGCUUCGCACCUAGCAAAGGCUUCCCCCCCAUGUGCUAAUGGUUUAAUUAUAUUCUUUCCCCUUCAUUUCUUUAGGAGUCAUCACUAAGAUUAAAAUUCUUGUUCAAAGCAGAUCUACGCAAGUAGGUGACUUUAGGGUUCAUUUUCUAAUUGAUCAAACAAACUGCUAAUUAAAUGCAUCUGUGCCUAAUCAAAACAUGGCUACAUAAGCACAGUGUAUCAUUUAGCUGGGUGCAUGAGAUUGUAUUCAUCAAGGGGAAUGAAGACUCAGCUUGAUUAGUAAGUGGUGAAACACAUUCAAAUCCUUUAUUUAGGCCAACUUAUACCAGAAGCCAUGUUUAAUUAUUUAUGUAGAUUUUUUAAUAAAAGAUAUACAAGUUUUACUCCUUAAUAUGAUGUGUUCAGAGUAGCCCAACAAUGCUGCUAAUGAUGCUCUUGCCAUUUUUAGUCUUUGCAACCCUUUGUGAAAGAAUAAAUUUAUCCAUGUUUCAAAGAGUCAUAUCUAUGUAUGUGCAAGCAUAGAAAAAACAGUGAGGGAGAGGCGUUCUCUUAUAUACUGAAAAGUGUUGUGUGGAACUAUUCAGGCCUAUUCUUUUGUGUUGCUGCAACUUACCUGUUUUGGUGCAAAGACAGAUCUCCUGCAUUGCAGAGACUGGAGAAACACGGGCUAUUUAGCUUCCACUUUCAAGCUUGCUUAACUUUACUCCUGCAUAGCUGUCUCUUGGUAUCUUCUAUUCUAUACCACCCUUUCCUUUCACUUCCAAACUGCAUGGGCAGAUGGCUGGUACCUGCCAUUCUCCACUUGACUAUCUUGACUUGUAUUUUUACUAGCACUCUGUUUUUUUAAAUUCUUCUCUUUAAACUCUUUUAAAGAAUUCACUGUGGAAAGGGCUUUGUCUUUUUAUUUAUUUAUAUUAUUUUUAAAAAUGGUGAAAGGAAAUACUUUCCUUUAAAACAAAAUUGAUGAGUGCAUCGAUCUCAGAUCUUCAGUAGCCACCCUCUCUGGCUUCCUUCACUUCAAUUAAAGCACAUGGAAAGGUGUCACGACGUAAUGUCUGCUUUUUUGUAGUGAUGUGUAAAAUGCUAUGCUAUGGGAGCCUUUUUGGUUGAAAUUUAAAAAAAUAACAAUAUUUAAACAAAAAAUACAUAUAGAAGAAAUCCUACAGGGCUUUUCAAAUUGCGAAGAAGUGUUUUAUUGGGGGGGGGAAUGUUUUAUGGGAAGAAUAAGAAAAGCCCACAAACACACUGAUGUAAACUAAAUUGAAUCCCACACCCAUCAAAAUUUUAAAGAAAUUCUUUAAAAAAUAAAUAAAUCCUAACGUGUCCCACAAAUGACAAAGAAAAAUAGAAACCUCUUUUGUGAUGGAAUAAAACUCUCAAGGAAUUAGAGAACAGGUUUUGGUACAUUGGCGGUACAAUUUCAUCCUUUAAUGGACUUGUUUAAAAGCACAGGACACUUGCUAGGAAUUCCCUGACUUCCACUCCAUUUCCACCAAGAUUCCACCCUCCUUUUCUCAGACCUCUGCUUUCUCUUUCCCUCCAAAGUUGCUUCAUUUUAUUCCUCUUUUGCAGCCAACAAUAUGCAGUUUCUCCUGUCCUGAAGAGUGGAAGUUUGUGACCUUUCAUAUAUCGCAGGGUGUGUGUUCCAUGCUUGCUGCCUGUGCUCUGUGGGCAGCUUCAGACUGAUGCACAAUGUUUGAAGCUGCUUUCAGAACACUUGAGUGCAUAAUUCAGGGUGGAUAAUUGCGUGUGUUGCACCAGAAAUAGCAAAGAGUCUGGUAGCACUUUAACAGAUUUAUUGUGCCAUAUACUGUAAUGCAACAAUUAAUCUGUUAGUUGUUAUGAAGCGGCAAGUCUCUUUGUUGUUUUUACCUUCACAUAACUAUGUUAUGAAGCCACUUUCUAGUAUGCAUGGUGCUUGUCCUUGUCCUAAAGAUAAACAAGUCAUUUUCAUUUAUCCACCAUCACUUUGUCUCUCUCAUUGCUCCUCUGCUCCUCUGCUGUUUUGUGUGUGUAUAUAUAUUGCAGAUGUUCUAGUUACUGCUUAUUGAUUCUGGUUUGUUUCCACCUGUUGUUUCGUUUAUUAUAUUAUUUUGACAAUACCAGAAUAAAAGGGGGAAAGACACAAAAACCACAGACAUACAAAAAUCAAAAGUAUAAAUAAAGUCAAUUAUUUAUGCUAUUUACUCUAAAGCAUCUGUACCAUAUAAAAUCUUAAAAUAUUCCAAGGCCACCUUUUGAUUGGAAAAGCAAUAUGCUUUUAUGCAAUGUCCAAAAAAUGGUUCCGAACUUAACAUAAAAGUAUCUUGUUGCUGUCUUUUAUUUUUCUCAUAUAGUAUGUCCACUUUGCCAUUAAAACAAAAUCCCAACUUUUUUUUAAGUAAUUCUUUUGUUUAGUGUUCUUUGUGAUCUCAGUAUGCUUGACACAAUUAACAUAUGAAACCCAUUUCUUAUGUGUUUGUCAUACUAAGCCCUCCAUAUAAUUUGAUAAGGAGAAAGCAUGGAAGAUACUGUUGUGUAGAACAAAAUGCCCCUUUUCACAAUUACCUGAUGCAAUGUCCUAGCCUCCUCAUUAAACAGCAACCUAGCUGUCGUAUUUCAAACAUCCUCUGUGUGCUGAGCAGUAAUUCUCUCCUCAUGGCUCUGUUUUUCCAGAAAUAGUUUCGAAGACGCUUUUACUUUCUGGGUGGUUGAAAGGUAACAGCAGGCCAUUUCCCUCUGUGUACAUGUUGGAUAUGAUGUGCUGUUGUACAGAAUGUGUUACGAUUGUCAGACUUCUGGGUCAGCGCCAUCGGUGAAUGGCGGAGUUUCUCCGAUCGGAGGAACGGGCUCCGUGGAAACUGGGUCUUCCCGCCGCGGCGAAGGUGGGGACCCGCUAGAAAUCCCAGGCGGAGGAAGCCUGGGAACGUGGGGUUCGGCAGGGCACCAGGAGUGCCCCCCUACUCACUGGGAACCCCAUUUUGGGGCACCGGAGCGAAGUGGGGUGAGCGGCGCGGUGCUGCAAACUGAUUGCUAUUUUUACGGAGUGAAGCCGCACAGCCAUUGCCGGAGAGUGCUGACUUUUUCCUGUGGACAAUUGGAUUCAAAACAAGUACCCGUGAGUAGAAAUGGAAAAUUGGAUCAAGAAAUAUCUUAAUUUGGCAUCAAAGCGGGAAGGUUCAAAACAGGAAGUCUGCCUUCCGCUUUCUAUAUAUAGACUAAAGCAAAAACUUUGUAAGCUAAAGCCUGGAAAGCCGUUAAAAAAGUCUAAAUUUCCUUCAUUUACAAUUACUGAAACCCCCUUGGAAGUAGGAGAAAAGUGGGCAGAACUUUGUUUAACCCCUGCAGGAGAGGGAGUGAAGAAGGAUAAGUUUCCACCGUCUCUAACCUGGGAACGGGGUGUCAGAGACAGAAAUAGUUGGAGAGGUUCAUUGACUGUGAAUGGAAUACUUUGACAGAUAGCUAAAGAAGAGAAAUAAACUGAUUCCAAUGUUGCCUUUUGCAUUCUAAAGAAACAAAAUAUCUGAAAAAUAUCUGAAAAAUGAAAGUAAUUUUCCUUUGUUGGACUUGCCUUAAAAAAAUGGAUACAAAUAGAAAUUGUCUCCCCUAGAGGGAGCUUGUUAAAUUGUUGCUGCAGUCUACUUGAGGACUCAACAGCUGUGAGAUUAAGAUCGUGGGACCAGUCUUUUCUGACCUUGACUAAAGAUGAGCUGGGAGGAAGAUUGGGUGCUUGCUUUAUGCAAGACAAGUGCCUUGCUGGAACAGAUGCACGAGAAGAUGGAUUUGAUGAAUGAGAAAAUGGACUUGAUGACUGUUGUGGUUAACAACUGUGGACAAACAGGGAACAUUGAUACAGAAACCAUUCAGGGACCAACUCAUGAACCUGUACUGACUGGGCAAGUGCAGAAGAUAAUGGAGGAGGAUGCAGUUGCACCUCAAAUAAUACAAAGGGAGAAACCCGAGGCCCUACAGGAGCAUAAGCCGCUGUCAUUGAAGAUUGAAGUUGGAGUGGGCCAGGGGGAGUCUGGAGCUGAGGAGGUUCCCAACUUUGGAGAGACCUUGAAAUAUGUUUUUAAAUACUUUUUGGAUUACAUUGAUGACUGUGGGGAGUGGGACUGUGGGGAAUGGGCAGGUUUGAUGAAGGGAGAUGGAGACAAUUUUGGGUUGGAACCCCCCAGAGACCUACUCCUCAAUGAGAAAGGAAAGAAAUUAAGAAAGAGACCAACAAAUGACAAGGAAAAGGGCAAGUAUAAACAAGAAGAAGAAGAUCUGCAGAAGGGACAUGGAAGAGACUUAAGGGCCUCGGACAUAAGACUUCCAGGUUGAUGGACUAGAUGGAAUGGACAGUAAGGACUGACACGACCCGAGACCAGGAAGAAGAGACGUUGGAUGAAGAUUGGAAGAAAAUUUAUAAAGAAAAUUUUUUAUUUGGGGAAUUAGCCUAAAAUUAAUGAAUAUUAGGGAAAAUGUUGGAAUGAAACGAUAUGACUCUAGCAGAAAUGAUAUCAGGAGUUAUGUAUAUUUGAGUAUUAAGAUUCAAGCUUUAAGGUAUUUUAUGGUAAGAUAAGGUUAAAUAAAUCAAGGUAAUUUGAAUAACAGAAUAUGGGGAAAGAUGGAAAGGAUUUGUUGAGCUAAUUAUUAGGUUAAAUUGUUAAGAUAAAUUAUUUAACAAAAAUUGAGAAAGAUGGAAAUAAUUUGCUGAAAUAACUAAUUAAACUAGAAUACAAAAAGGGAGGUGUGAGGAGGUCAAUGAAACAAGCAAAUGGAAGUUAAAGAUAUGUAAUUUGGGAUUUGUGUCUUUUUUUUCUUCCCUUUUUUAAUUUUUUUGUUGUAUUGCUGUAUUGGUUUUUAUGUUUUGCGGGGUUUUUUCUUUUUUAUGUUGUUGUUUUUUGUUUUUUAUUUUUUUUCUAUUAUUCUGAAAGUAUUAAUAAAUAUUAUUAUUAUUAUUAAAAAAGAAUGUGUUACGAUUGUCAAAACACUGCCUUUGAAGUGUGACCCAGGGCCGCGCACUAUCACCAGGUCAUACGCACACACUGGGGGAGGUGCGCACUAUGUCAUGACGUCCCCCAGCAUGUGUUUGCUGCGGCGUCAUGCCUCCAGCAUGCUCAUGUCACUCGCUCACAUAGCGGGGCAUGGUGACAUAGUGUGUGUAUACCAGGGGGGCAUGAUGAUGUAGCACAUGCAUACCCCACGCCAUGCACAUGUAGCUGUACUGCACCUUGUGUGUACCUGGCCCCUCCUUUAAAAUGUUGAGGGAGCUAUGGCACCCAGAGCCCCUUAGCCCCGGCACCUAUGCUAGAAGGGGACCUAAGCACCACAUGGCCACACUGGAAUGGGGAAUCCUCUUUGAGAUUCCUCUUCAGUUUAAUUAGAGAAUAAACCAUUUUACUUUAUUUUUAUGUAACCUACCUGUUUUCUUUCUCAAUUACAAUAUCAACAGAGCUUCUUAAUAUGGACCAUGGAUUUGAAUGUAUUCCUUCUCUCUCUCUCUCUCUCUCCCCUCUCUUGCAGUGAGGUUCCUCACUUUUCAUGGCAAAUUGGCCUCUAAUCCCAUACUGGCUGGGUGGCCCCUCAAAGGUCAGUCACCAUUACCCGGGCAGCCAGGAUGUGUGGGGCCACUCCGACUGCUUACACUGCAGGGUGGGAUUGCCUGCCAAAAGCCUAGUUUUUGAACCAUUCAGUCAGUGGGUCACUAGUAGGUGGAGUCUUGUGGUAGGACCUGGAGUCAGAAGCUUCCACUCUGGUCUGCCGGGCAAUUUCAGUACAGUCGGCAGAAGAGCACCUAUGGUUAAAAGUGGUGCGGUCCUCUUUUUCAUAUGCAGAUUUUACACUUAUUCUGUUCCUUGCGUAGUCCAGCUCUUAAGCACAGCAUUGGCAAUCUCAUUACUAGUGCUGUGUCAAUAAAAUCUGAUUUUUAAAACCACCAUUUAAAGAGAAAAUGAAUUGUAUUUGCAAAUUAUCAGUGGGUCUAGAACAUUUCACUGAAAUUCUGAAGGAAUACCUUUGAAGUGGCUGGGAUUUUUUUGUGUGAUGUUUAAGUGUCUCCUUUUCAUUCUACAAUUCUCCUCUCUGGUGGUCUACACUUUCCUAAGUGUCUCCACUUCUGGAAAAUUCUAGUUGUCUUCUGAUAGACUUUCUUGUAAUGUCAGAAAGCUAAGGAGACUGAGGUUUUUUUAAUGACUUUUCUUCCAAACAAAAUCAGGGAGUGCGCCAGUUUGAAGCACUUGAUAUCCACCCUCCUCACCUUUCUUCAUCAAAGGGGAAGGCAUCCUCUUCCUAUGGGUCUUUUUUAGACCAGGAAUCACAGGUAGCUGGAGAGACUGAAGAAUGAUAAAUACUUUACAGAGAACUGUUUUAAUGAAUGAAAGUGGGGAGGGAAACACACCUCCCUUGGCCACCUUGAAACAAUAAGGUAAGCCCAACACAUGGAAAUUAUACAGUGCCCUGCAAACAAGGCAGGAAAACAGAAACCUCUUUGGGGAAUACAAAAUCAAGGACUGUUUUCUGUACAGUAUUAGUCCUGUCAGGGUUUUGGAUAACUGUCAGUCUUUGAAGUUUAGAACUACUGUUCUCGUUUUGUCAGCAGCAUUGUGUCACUGUCUACCAUUUACUGGGAAGUGGGAAGAGUACUGUUGCGUUCACAUCCUGCCUGCAGACUCCCAUAGGGAUUUGGUUGGCUACUGUGAGAACAGAAUGCUGGACUAGGCAGUCCUUCAAACCAUUCCAUCAAGGCUCUUCUUAAGCACACAUCAGUACAUUUUUACUUUUCUGUGUUGAAUAACUUUAAAGUUGUUGCCAUAGCUACAAUCCAUAUUUUGCUAUGUGUUCUUUCUUCCCAGAAUUGACUCCCUUUGCCUUCAUCCUUCAGACAGCUAAGAUGCAAGGCACACCUUUCAUACCAAACUGGCUGUGGCGGUACAAGAGGCAAAGCUGUAAUCACAUAGACACUUCCAAGAAGACAUGGCUGGUGCUCUGCAAACAUGCCCUUAGAAAAGUACAAAUGGGGAUGCCAAUUCUGAAUGAUUUAAAAUUGUAGAAACAAACACCAUGUGACCCACAGGUUCCCCAGCUAGGUUCCCCAGCUACUGAAGUGUUUUUACAACCUACUUUCCAAUGUUGCUGCUUUCCCUGUAUGCCUCCGCACGGUAGACAUAGCUGAAGGGCAAAUAGGCUAUGUUUUUCAAAAGGCUUAUUUUAUAAUUAAAGACUCAAGUGCUUCGUG